GGAGUACUACAUUAGAAGAUGUUAACGCAUUUUUUCUACACAUGUGGCGAUUAUUUUUUUUUGAAAACUUUGCUUUGGUAGGCUCUUUCUAUAUGGGGCCUCGCCAGAGAUAAACUCAACCAAAUUUUAUUUAAUGUCAACCGAUUAUUUAAUAGUCAAAACUUUCAACAACGGAUCCUCCUUGGUUCUCGCAUCGAUGAAGAACGCAGCGAAAUGCGAUAAGUAAUAUGAAUUGCAGAUAUUCGUGAAUCAUCGAAUCUUUGAACGCACAUUGCGCCCUUUGGUAUUCCAAAGGGCAUGCCUGUUUGAGCGUCAUUUCUCCCUCAAACCCUCGGGUUUGGUGUUGAGCGAUACGCUGGGUUUGCUUGAAAGAAAGGCGGAGUAUAAACUAAUGGAUAGGUUUUUUCCACUCAUUGGUACAAACUCCAAAACUUCUUCCAAAUUCGACCUCAAAUCAGGUAGGACUACCCGCUGAACUUAAGCAUAUCAAUAAGCGGAGGAAGGAUCAUUACAGAAUGAAAAGUGCUUAACUGCAUUUUUUCUUACACAUGUGUUUUUCUUUUUUUGAAAACUUUGCUUUGGUAGGCCUUCUAUAUGGGGCCUGCCAGAGAUUAAACUCAACCAAAUUUUAUUUAAUGUCACCGAUUAUUUAAUAGUCAAAACUUUCAACAACGGGAUCUCUUGGUUCUCGCAUCGAUGAGGACGCAACGAAAUGCGAUAAGUAUAUGAAUUGCAGAUAUUCGCUGGAAUCCAUCGAAUCUUUGACGCACAAUUGCGCCCUUUUGGUAUUCCAAAGGGCAUGCCUGUUUGAGCCGUCAUUUCUCCCUCAACCCUCGGUUUGGGUUGGUUGAAGCAAUACGCUGGCUUGCUUGAAAGACAAGGCGGACUUAUAAACUCAUGGAAUGAGUUUUUUCACCUACAUGGUUACACAAACUC
rnacentral:rRNA from 1 species